CCAAAGGACAAAGUUUUCAAACCACUUUCUCAUUGAUCCUGUUCCUUGAAGACAGAGCCCGAGGACAUGUAGCUCUCCAGACCUCAGGACUCCUGCCCAGGCCCCGACCCUGAGAAGGCAUCAGGAAGCAUCCAUGCAGAAACCCAGUUUUUGCUCUUGAAGCUUUCAACUGAUUGGAUGAGACCCACCCAGAUCAUCAGUGGUCAUCCUGAGUUCAAGCCAGAAGAUGGUGGCUGUUAAGCAUGUGCACAAGAUACUCGGAACAACACUAGUGUGGUUAAAUGACGAGGACCAGAAAGAUCCAAAGAUGUUGCAAGAAGAAGGGAAAGAACUAGCACAGGGAAAGGUGGAAAAGGUCAUGAGAGGCGGUGAGGGACAGCCGCCAAGGCAGGAGCAAGUGGGGACCAAGUCCACCCUGGAAGGGGUUUCUCUCAGCGGGGCAGGGAUGGCAGUGACAAGCCAUCCACGGCCUUCACUGAGCACUUCCCAAGUCCUCGGCCCCGGAGACCCGGUCAAGGACAAAACCAGGCUGGUCUUGCUCUCAACACAACCAUUAUCCCCUGAUGCAAGAGCAAAAA